UACGUGCUCUCUGUUAGGAUGG
rnacentral:miRNA from 12 species